UCCUCCCUCUGUCGGCGUGCUUAACACAUGCAAGUCGAACGGAAAGGCCCUGCUUUUGUGGGGUGCUCGAGUGGCGAACGGGUGAGUAACACGUGAGUAACCUGCCCUUGACUUUGGGAUAACUUCAGGAAACUGAGGCUAAUACCGGAUAGGAGCUCCUGCUGCAUGGUGGGGGUUGGAAAGUUUCGGCGGUUGGGGAUGGACUCGCGGCUUAUCAGCUUGUUGGUGGGGUAGUGGCUUACCAAGGCUUUGACGGGUAGCCGGCCUGAGAGGGUGACCGGCCACAUUGGGACUGAGAUACGGCCCAGACUCCUACGGGAGGCAGCAGUGGGGAAUAUUGCACAAUGGGCGGAAGCCUGAUGCAGCAACGCCGCGUGCGGGAUGACGGCCUUCGGGUUGUAAACCGCUUUCGCCUGUGACGAAGCGUGAGUGACGGUAAUGGGUAAAGAAGCACCGGCUAACUACGUG
rnacentral:rRNA from 1 species